UCCCACCAAACCCUCCCUCCUCCACAGCACGCCCACCUCCAACCUCGCCCACUCACCCCCUCGCCGCAGUUUUCGCCCGCUUGCUUGCUCUCUCACUUUCUCUCUUUCUUCUUUUCUUUUUCUUUUCCUUUCUUCUCCAUAGAGCUUACCACCAAACCCUCCCUCCUCCACACCCCGCCCACCUCCCAUCUCGCCCACCUCGCCCACUCGCCCCCUUGCCUGCUCGCUCGCUUGCUCGCUGGUUCGCCCCCUCGCCUACUUCUCAGGGCGGCAGCUUCUUGGUCGGACAUAGCAGAACUGUCUGAUUCUGCCCCUUUGGUGGAGAUUGAGCAUAAUGUCAUCCUUGUUCCAUGAUCCUUGUUUAGUAUAAAUGUGGUUUCGUAUAAAAUAGUAAUUAAAUUACUUCUUCUUAGUUUACAAAUAGAAGAAUUUUUAAGAUAAAGUUGUAUUUGGUUGUAUUGUUUGUCUUCGUCGCAAUGAUGUAUGUGAAGAUUUUAAUGUAACUAAAGGCUAUUUGAACUAUGUUUGUAACCACUAUUUUUAAUUAAUGAAUUUAUAUCUUUAA